UCACUAUCGAGUCUUAUCUUUCGUUUUGCCAAAAACGGAGAUGUCUUCAUUACUUGGCUUGGCGAGCCGUGUGUAUAUAAAAGGGUCAUUCUUUUGACUUAAUGAUUAAGUAAUCUCGGACCACCACAAGAUAUCAAGAUGAAGUUCGCCGUGUACCUGCUCGUUUUGUUGCCAAUGGUCUACUGUGCCAGCAUCGAGGAGAGAUUCUUAUCCGGAGUAUUUCAGCACCAUUUAAUCGACGUCACGAAACUUCUGCAGUCUUGCCUUGGCUCCGACACCACUGAGGCUGCAUGUCAGGCCGACUGUCCGAGCUGCCUUUCUGCAAUCCCAGGCGGUAGUCUAGGCGCUCCAUUGUUAUGCGGCCCAGCAUGCAAAGAGCUCCAGCACCUUGCCCAAGGACGCUAAUUUAUAAUGGCAUUGGAUAUCUCUUAUCUUGGAAGAAAACAUUAAACGACAUGAAACCUAUUUUGCAAACGUCAUUUUAUCAAAGCAUAUAUAUUAUUAAAACAACAGAGGUAUGAUUGA